UGGGGAAUCUUCCGCAAUGGGCGAAAGCCUGACGGAGCAACGCCGCGUGAGUGAUGACGGCCUUCGGGUUGUAAAACUCUGUGAUCCGGGACGAAAAGGCAGAGUGCGAAGAACAAACUGCAUUGACGGUACCGGAAAAGCAAGCCACGGCUAACUACGUGCCAGCAGCCGCGGUAAUACGUAGGUGGCAAGCGUUGUCCGGAAUUAUUGGGCGUAAAGCGCGCGCAGGCGGCUUCCCAAGUCCCUCUUAAAAGUGCGGGGCUUAACCCCGUGAUGGGAAGGAAACUGGGAAGCUGGAGUAUCGGAGAGGAAAGUGGAAUUCCUAGUGUAGCGGUGAAAUGCGUAGAGAUUAGGAAGAACACCGGUGGCGAAGGCGACUUUCUGGACGAAAACUGACGCUGAGGCGCGAAAGCGUGGGGAGCAAACAGG
rnacentral:rRNA from 2 species